rnacentral:rRNA from 1 species
CCAUCAUUCAGUUGGGCACUCUAAGGAAACUGCCGGUGAUAAGCCGGANGAAUGUGGGGAUGACGUCAANUCCUCAUGGGCCUUACGCGCUGGGCUACACACGUGCUACAAUGGCAACUACAGUGGGCAGCAACCUCGACGAGGGGUAGCUAGUCUCCAAAAGUUGUCUCAGUUCGGAUUGUUCUCUGCAACUCGAGAGCAUGAAGGCAGGAAUCGCUAGUAAUCGCAGAUCAACAUGCCGCGGUGAAUACGUUCCCAGGCCUUGUACACACCGCCCGUCACACCAUGGGANUUGGUUUCACCCGAAGGCAGUGCUCUAACCCGCAAGGGAGGAAGCUGACCACGGUGGGAUCAUCGACUGGGGUGAA